rnacentral:rRNA from 1 species
UACAGAGGUCCCAAGCGUUGUUCGGAUUCACUGGGCGUAAAGGGUGCGUAGGUGGCUUGGAAAGUUUGAUGUGAAAGCUCAGGGCUUAACCCUGAAAUGGCAUUGAAUACUACUGAGCUGGAGGUUUGGAGGGGGGACUGGAAUUCUCGGUGUAGCAGUGAAAUGCGUAGAUAUCGAGAGGAACACCAGUGGCGAAGGCGAGUCCCUGGACAACACCUGACACUGAGGCACGAAAGCCGGGGGAGCAAACAGG